rnacentral:rRNA from 1 species
AUUGAACGCUGGCGGCAUGCCUUACACAUGCAAGCCGAACGGUAACAGGUUAAGCUGACGAGUGGCGAACGGGUGAGUAAUGUAUCGGAACGUGCCCAGUCGUGGGGGAUAACUACUCGAAAGAGUGGCUAAUACCGCAUACGACCUGAGGGUGAAAGCGGGGGACCGUAAGGCCUCGCGCGAUUGGAGCGCCCGAUAUCAGAUUAGCUAGUUGGUGGGGUAAAAGCCCACCAAGGCGACGAUCUGUAGCUGGUCUGAGAGGACGACCAGCCACACUGGGACUGAGACACGGCCCAGACUCCUACGGGAGGAAGCAGUGGGGAAUUUUGGACAAUGGACGCAAGUCUGAUCCAGCCAUGCCGCGUGCGGGAAGAAGGCCUUCGGGUUGUAAACCGCUUUUGUCAGGGAAGAAACGAGUUUCUCUAAUACAGAGGCUUAAUGACGGUACCUGAAGAAUAAGCACCGGCUAACUCCGUGCCAGCCGCCGCGGUAAAAC